AGGCAACAUUCAUCCCCUCUUCCUUCAGCUUCAGAGGAAGAGCGGUGGUCAUCCUCUCCCUUAUGAUGCUGAGCUGUGUUUCACAGCCAGAAGAGAGACCUCUGCACGUCCCAAGCUGCACAAGCGGGUCCUGGUUGAGAUGGAGAACCAAAGGGCAAGAAAUAGCAAUAACAGCUCCCACGGCAGCUCACGCCCGCCCUAAUUCUCGGCGAGAAGGACGAACGAGAGGCUGAAAACCUCCGCUGCCCAUCAGACUCGCACCGUGCAAGGCCAGGGCACCACUGAUCAUAAGGUUUCUUCAACUGCGCUCCCAGCUUUCUCUUGCUAUUCCAUCUUGCACGGUCGGUAACUGCCUUCUUGGCUUGGCUUUGCUAAUCUGACCACAAGGAAUUGGCAAACUAGUUCGAGAGGAGAAAUCAAA
rnacentral:lncRNA from 1 species